UUUUAAUUCUGACAAGGUUUACUCCCUAAAUCAUUUCCUUCUUGAUAUUAAUUUUAUUCUUCAAGUAAUUUCUUCGUGGGGUUUCUCUAUAUAGGUUUUCUGUUUCUAUUUCAGUUUACGGUUUGUAUCUAUUUUUUCGGUAAAUAUUUUCUUACUUUAGAGUUUUAUUUUCUUAAUACCAGCAUCUUCAAAAAAUGUUGGGAAGCUUGACGUUGUAUUUCUCUCUAAGUUCGAGUCUCAUACUCACUCUUUUUCUUCCUUUUGAAAAAUUCUUUAAUUGAAAUAGUUAUAUGACCAGUUGAAAAUUUUAUUUUGCAUUAGAAAAGAACCAAAAAGUUUCUUAUAUUACGUGACAAAACAGAAAGAAAAUGUUAACUUUACUGGCUAGAUUUCAUACCUUAACAGAAGUAUAACAACCAAUGAACAUGAUCCUGCUAUAUUUUAAUGUUGAGGUAGGAAAGUUUAUGUGUUUCUUUUGAAGAUGUCAAGUUUUAUGACUAGUUUUUUCAUUGCUUAGCUGAAAUAUAUCAUGCAAAACUACUAAAAGUUCAAACAUUAUGCAUAAAUUCAAAUGUAGCAAAAGAGUUGUUAGCAAAAAAUCUUGGAGUUGCAACUUUUGCUUAUUGUGUAUGUGUGCUGAACACAUUAUUCAGUUCGCGUCAGCGUUCUAAUUUAACUAUGACAAGUAAUUCCUUACCUUUAGUUCUGAUAUCACUUAAACCCUUACACUUGGGAAUUUGUCCAACAGGAAAAGGAAGAGGAAAGACUGAAAUUGUGCAAGAGUUACUAAGUGUGUUUUCUACUAUGCUAAAGGCUGCUGAAAUAAUAAAAUCAACAUCCGAGAUAGAGAUCUCAACAUCUGAAGAAGCAGUUAAGCACCUCAAAAACAGAUUGACUUCACUAGGAAGAGAACUACAAUAUGCCAAAUUUAAGGUAACAAUAAUCCAUAAUAUUUCGAUCAUUUUUGCUUCAUCAAAAGCCUCAAGUGCUUAUAGUGAAGUCUUUUAUAGUUGUCUGUUGGGGAUCUUUUUUUAAUGAAGAGACAAUUUUGUGAUACGAAUUGUGUAAAGUGGAUAACUUUUAAAAGGAAAGUGUAAAAUGGAAGACUUUGAGCAGGAAUUGUGUAGAAUUGAAGACUUUUAGUAGAAAGUGUUUUGGUUCUAAAGAAUAAAAUCUUGUGGAGAAAUUUGGAGAGGAGAACAUUAAACUGGGAAAUUUGGAACUCUUUCAGUUAAAUUUUGUGUAGGAACCAUUUAGCUAGAAAUCUUUUGGUAAUGUCUUGUGCAUGUGUUGAUUUCUCUGGAGGUAUCCUAAUUCCUUCAGCUAUGCACGUUAAAACUGAAUUUGAAUUGUUGAUGCAGGCAUGAGGAACGCCAAAAUAGGUAGUCCUAAUUGUUUGUGUAGUCAUUGCAAUGUGUUUCUACUAUCCGCUGGGUGUUUCCUUUGCUGCAGAGGACAAUGAAAGGAUAUUCUCAAGGAGAUAGAUAAUAAAUGCCAAUCAUAAUCUUAUUUAUGCCUU